rnacentral:rRNA from 1 species
UCUACGGGAGGCUGCAGUGGGGAAUAUUGGGCAAUGGGCGCAAGCCUGACCCAGCAACGCCGCGUGAAGGAAGAAGGCUUUCGGGUUGUAAACUUCUUUUCUGAGGGACGAAGAAAGUGACGGUACCUCAGGAAUAAGCCACGGCUAACUACGUGCCAGCAGCCGCGGUAAUACGUAGGGGGCAAGCGUUAUACGGAUUUACUGGGUGUAAAGGGGGCGCAGACGGCGAUGCAAGCCAGGAGUGAAAGCCCGGGGCCCAACCCCGGGACUGCUCUUGGAACUGCGUGGCUAGAGUGCAGGAGGGGCAGGCGGAAUUCCUGGUGUAGCGGUGAAAUGCGUAGAUAUCAGGAGGAACACCAGUGGCGAAGGCGGCCUGCUGGACUGCAACUGACGUUGAGGCCCGAAAGCGUGGGGAGCAAACAGGAUUAGAUACCCCAGUAGUC